rnacentral:tRNA from 1 species
GCCUGGAUGGCGAAAUUGGUAGACGCGCACGCUUUAGGAGCGUGUGGGGCAACCCUUGCAGGUUCGAUUCCUGUUCCAGGCA